GUUGAACGCUGGCGGCAUGCCUUACGCAUGCAAGUCGAACGGCAGCGCGGACUUCGGUCUGGCGGCGAGUGGCGAACGGGUGAGUAAUAUAUCGGAACGUGCCCUAGAGUGGGGGAUAACUAGUCGAAAGAUUAGCUAAUACCGCAUACGAUCUACGGAUGAAAGUGGGGGAUCGCAAGACCUCAUGCUCAUGGAGCGGCCGAUAUCUGAUUAGCUAGUUGGUGGGGUAAAAGCCUACCAAGGCGACGAUCAGUAGCUGGUCUGAGAGGACGACCAGCCACACUGGGACUGAGACACGGCCCAGACUCCUACGGGAGGCAGCAGUGGGGAAUUUUGGACAAUGGGGGCAACCCUGAUCCAGCAAUGCCGCGUGUGUGAAGAAGGCCUCGGGUUGUAAAGCACUUUUGUCCGGAAAGAAAUCCUCUGGGUUAAUACCCCGGAGGGAUGACGGUACCGGAAGAAUAAGCACCGGCUAACUACGUGCCAGCAGCCGCGGUAAUACGUAGGGUGCAAGCGUUAAUCGGAAUUACUGGGCGUAAAGCGUGCGCAGGCGGUUGUGCAAGACAGAUGUGAAAUCCCCGGGCUUAACCUGGGAACUGCAUUUGUGACUGCACGGCUAGAGUGUGUCAGAGGGGGUAGAAUUCCACGUGUAGCAGUGAAAUGCGUAGAUAUGUGGAGGAAUACCGAUGGCGAAGGCAGCCCCUGGGGAUAACACUGACGCUCAUGCACGAAAAGCGUGGGG
rnacentral:rRNA from 1 species